UACGGAGGGUGCGAGCGUUGUCCGGAAUCACUGGGCGUAAAGGGCGCGUAGGCGGUCAGCACAAGUCAGUUGUGAAAUCUCCGGGCUUAACUCGGAAAGGUCAACUGAUACUGUGCGACUAGAGUGCGGAAGGGGCAACUGGAAUUCUCGGUGUAGCGGUGAAAUGCGUAGAUAUCGAGAGGAACACCUGCGGCGAAGGCGGGUUGCUGGGCCGACACUGACGCUGAUGCGCGAAAGCUAGGGUAGCGAACGGG
rnacentral:rRNA from 1 species